rnacentral:rRNA from 1 species
UACGUAGGGUGCAAGCGUUUGUCCGGAAUUAUUGGGCGUAAAGAGCUCGUAGGCGGUCUGUCGCGUCUGCUGUGAAAACUCAGGGCUUAACCCCGGGCCUGCAGUGGGUACGGGCAGACUAGAGUGCGGUAGGGGGAGACUGGAAUUCCUGGUGUAGCGGUGAAAUGCGCAGAUAUCAGGAGGAACACCGGUGGCGAAGGCGGGUCUCUGGGCCGUAACUGACGCUGAGGAGCGAAAGCGUGGGGAGCGAACAGG